AAAAAAAAAAAAAAAUUAGCAGGGAGUCUGGUUAAAAUGAAUCAAAGUAGAUUUGUUCCUGCUUUUUCUAAGGACCAGUUACUUAUCAGCAUCAAUUCCAACCAAACAACACUGUCUGAAGUGACCUGACCAACCAAAUACCACUGCCUUGUUCUGUCUGGUCUCCGCGCCCAAAUCUGGGCCUGAGAAUCGCAUGGACUUUGGACUUGGAGGGGCUCAGCCAGGCCCCAACGCUGUGCUCAUAACUUCUCCCAACUUGGAAAGCCCCAGCCUAAGGGGGAAAUUCAGCCAGAGGAACUUUCACUUCAAAUCUAGAAAGCUCACUUCCCUAGGUGGAGGGACCUGGCUCCGUGCCGUUAGGGGCCCCACAGCAAGUCCAUAGAAGGCCACAGUUUUUGGAAAUAGGCUCAUGUGAGGGGUCGCAGCAUCCUUCAUCUUAGACUCACCUGUCUAAUGCAUCCCAGCUGCUCUGCUUGAGCCCUUCUUGAAAAUGUGCCCACACUAAAAAUUUAAAACAAAGGCAGAUGCUUUAACAACACCUCUUGUACGUACUUCCCAAAUGACCAGCUCCAACAGUGGGCUUGACAGAGCCCCCUCCUCGACUCUGAGAACGGGACCUAUGCAUACAUAACACUCAUCAAUGGUGCAGAGCGAUAGGAAAGUGCAAGGUGACAGGGGGAAGAGCUGUGGGAGCUCAGAGGAGAAUUUCGGUCCAGGGUGGGCACUGACAGGUUCUGCAAUCGGGGUCAAGGGCUCCAUCUUGGCAACCCCUCUGGCUCCAGCACAGGGCGUGGCCCACAAAAGCUGCUCUGGACAGGUUUGUGCAGCCAGGAGGGUGGCUGGUUCCACGCACACAGGUGGACCCUCCUGUUCUGGGAGGGGCCUGCAGGAGUGGCCGGGAUGGGACCUUUGGGGGCCGAAAGCUGGAGAGAGGCUGCCCUCUGCUGGCUGCUCCGGAGGGCCUGUCGGCCACUCCUCCUGUCCCCUGCUCCGGUAGCUGUCCUGCCCCGGGGCCCCUGUCUUCCAGUGCAGCCCCACGGUGGGGAAGGGGCCCGGGCGCACCUCCUGGGAGUAAGACCCGGGUAAAGGCAGUGGGCUGUAAGCCAGCUGCGGCCAGGUCAGGAAGCACCCACUGGACAAUGAAGGGCGCGGCGAGGAAAGAGGGACACCAGGCAGGGGAGGCACGGGGCGAAGGAGGGUCGGGUGACUGGAAGGCCCAGCAUCCGCAGGCGCGGCGCUUGCGCCGUCCCAGGAGACACCAGGUGGCGCUGUGGGGUCAGGGCAAAAGGCGGGCGCUGCCUUUCCGCGCACCCCACGCCCCCUUCUUCUCCCCGUGGACCCUGAGGACAGCUCCUGCGCAAGACAGCGCACGCGUCGAAUCCCCGACGCUCCCUUCUUCUCUGAGUACUGGCGCGCUUCGGGGCCCUGUGGAAUACCAAACCCUGUGAAAUUGACCCAGAGGGUCACCAAAGGGGCUUCAGAGAUUUGAAGACAGCUGUCAUCUGCCUGAGUGUGCCCCUCCCCACCAGAGAUCCCCUGGCCUUUCAGGGCAUCCUGAUGGAGGCACCAGGGAGCCCACUGAGUCCAGUGGAGGGGGAAAAACACAGCCAGGGGUUGGGGCCCCUCCAGGGGCCAGAGAAACAGACUGGAGACUUAAAAUAGGUCAAAGGGACAAAACGGAGGCAGCUCCUCCUGAGAAACGCCUGUCCCCUGCCUUUCUAGGGUGCAACUACCUCCACCCUAGUCUUCAUUUGGACAUUUUGGAGACAUUAUUAUUCAUCCAGCUUGUGUGCCUACUAUAUGCUAUAGACCCUUUGAAACCUUACAUGUAUUACCUCAUUUAAUUGUCA